rnacentral:rRNA from 1 species
CAGCCGCCGCGGGAAUACAGAGGGUGCGAGCGUUAAUCGGAUUUACUGGGCGUAAAGCGUGCGUAGGCGGCUUCUUAAGUCGGAUGUGAAAUCCCUGAGCUUAACUUAGGAAUUGCAUUCGAUACUGGGAAGCUAGAGUAUGGGAGAGGAUGGUAGAAUUCCAGGUGUAGCGGUGAAAUGCGUAGAGAUCUGGAGGAAUACCGAUGGCGAAGGCAGCCAUCUGGCCUAAUACUGACGCUGAGGUACGAAAGCAUGGUGAGCAAACAGGAUUAGAUACCCGGGUAGUCCCUGUCUCUUAUAC